AGAAUCGCGGAAACGCGAUCCUCGCCGUAAAUCGCCGACCCCGUCUUCCUCCCCGCUUCCGCUCCCACCCCCUACCACCACAUGCCUCGGCCUCCCUCUCGCCGUCGCCGCCACCCCAAACCCUAGCCACCCCCCACCCCCCACAACCCGAGACCCCUAGAUCCUGCCCCCGCCCGAUGGCGGGCGCCCCCGCGGCGGGCCAGGUCGUGGAGCGGUUCCGCGCGCGGCUGCGCGAGGAGGCGGGCGGCGCCGGGGGCGAGCCGGGCGCCGCCGCGGUGGUGCGCGUGUACGCGGAGGCGCUCCGGGAGCUCACCUUCAACUGCAAGCCGGUCAUCACCGAGCUCACCAUCAUCGCGGGGCAGCACGCCGCGCUCGCCGCCAGGGGCAUCGCCGACGCCGUCUGCGCCCGCGUCGCCGAGGUGCCACCUGACCAGAUAUUACCAUCUUUGUAUCUGCUAGAUAGUAUUGUGAAGAACAUAGGGCGCGAAUAUGUAGACCGUUUUGCCGCAAGGUUGCAGAAGGUAUUUGUUGAUGCAUACUGUAGAGUUCAUCCCAGCCAGUAUGCUUCAAUGCGGCGCCUCUUUCGUACCUGGUGGCCAGUGUUUCCUUCUUCUGUGCUUCGUGGCAUCGAGGACGACCUUCAAUUUUCUCCCUCACAGGAAAAGCGUCCUGCCAUAGCGACAAAUCCACAUCAAUCAGAGUCUCUAUCUCCUAGGCCCUCUCAUGGCAUACAUGUAAAUCCCAAGUAUCUGGAAGCACAACAAAAAUUGAAGCAGGCCAAUGUGAUGCAUCAGCCUGCCGUUCGUGGCACUAGGCAAAUGGCUGAUGUGGAGGAGGAUCUGAUAAAUGGAUUAACAUCGAACGGCUUGCGAGGACGUCCUUCAAUGUUUCAGAAAUCUACUGUGCAGUAUGCUGAUGAUCCUGAUCAACAAGAUACACUCCGAUCUCUUGCUGGAACAAUAAGGGCAACAUCACCACAUCUGUUGAGUGCACAUCCAUCUGAUGCCAUUCUAGAUGGGCCAUUAGACACUUCAAGGAGAAACCUGUCCAGGUCGCCACCUCUUGAUGUGUUCCCUAGGAAUGCGUCCCCCAAGAGAGUGCUAGAGAGGCUACCACCAUCUCGUUCUAUAUUGGGACCUGAUCCCAGAAGAUUGCCUGAUCGGAAUGGCAGGUCGAGAUGGACCUUCGACGAUGGUGCACGGCGGCCUACAAUCAGCAUGCUUGAUGAAGAGUACAGGAAGCAAAGUGCAAGAGAACUUAUUGACGCUUAUGGGAAUUCUCAAGGCCGAGAUGCUGAUGAAAGAGUUUCUAAAAUGCAGCGCCUGGAUUCAAAUGGGAUGGCUAGUGCACGAAAUUGGCUCACUUCAGAGGAAGAAGAGUAUUCUUGGGAGGACAUGAGUCCAACUUUGACUGAUCGAAUCAGAAGCAGCGUGCCAUCAUUUCCUCCUGGAACCAUGAGAGCUGGAUUUCCUGGGGCAAAAGCAGGGUUACUGGAAUCUGAUAUUGGGAGGCACAAUUUUCCAAGCCAAGCUCCUCGAUCAUCGGUUGAUGGCCCACCAUUAAAUCUUGAAGAUAGGAUUACUGCUGCAAGUCAUGCUAACAUGCCUACUAGUAGGAGACAUCCUAGCAAUUUUGGUGUUCAGAAUGGAGCUCUUUUGGAGUACCAGAGUUCUGAGCAUACCCUCAAUCAUGGGAGAACUGCUACCAUGCAAGCUCCACCUUGGCAGCAGCCUACUGGUCUGCCAUUACGAGUACAAGCACCUGAACAUCCAUCAGUACUUGAUAGAAUACCACUGCCUGCUGACGGUGAAAUGCCAGUCAAGAGACUAGAGAUCGGUGGUAUAUACAAUGCUUUGAGUGCAGAUAUACCUUUGGUGGAGAAGCACAGGCCGUUAACUGCUGCUGCCCCAAUAGAAUGGCCUCCUCUUCAUCAUACUCAGUCGCAAACUUUAGUACCAAUUCCACCUGAUACAAAACAUGUUAGAAAUGCAGCAGAUAGUCUAGAAAUUAGGCCAUUUGUUAGUCAAGGAGCCAGUUCAUCUGUAUUUGUUCCACGGCAUCAAUAUGAUGCCUUGGAUCGGAAAACACUAAGUACCGGUAGCUUAGCUCAACCACCAUAUCAGCACCAAGAUUUGUUGCCAUCAAGUCAACAGAAUCAAGGUGCAGUUUUGGGAAACCAAGCACAGCCUCAUCAUCCUCAACAGUUUCAUCCCCAUUCCCAUCCCCACCAUCAGGAGGCUUUUAGAGGCUUUGGCCCGGGCAUGUCUAUAUCCCCGUUCCCAGGACAAGGGGGUAGUGCAGCAUUGCCACCAGUUUCACUUCUGCCCAGCUCUUUUUCUGGUCCACCUGCUGUGCCACCAUAUGGCAUGCCGUCUGUGUCCAGUUUUCCUAGGCCACCACUACCUCCCGGACCGCCACCUGGUUCGCUGCAGAUUGGUUCAUCAUCAUCACAAGUUGGUGGCCCUCAACCAUUUGUGUCUGGACUAUUGAGUAACCUUAUGCGGCAAGGUGUAAUUACAUUGGGACCACAUAGCCAACCUCAGGACUCAAUUGGAGUUGACUUCAAUAUAGACCUCAAGGUACGGAAUGAUUCUGUCAUCAAUGCUUUGUAUCAGGAUCUUUCAAGACAGUGCAAAACUUGUGGCCUUCGGUUCAAAUGCCAAGAGGAGCAUCGUGCUCACAUGGACUGGCAUGUUACAAAAAACAGAAAUUCAAAGAACCGUAAGCAAUCUUCACGUAAAUAUUUUGUCACUGCGGAGGAAUGGUUAAGAGCAGCAGAAACAGUUGGAAACGAUGGGGUUCCCGCUUUUGUGCCCUCAGACCCAGUCCCAGACAGCAAGGAAGAGAAAGAAAUGGCUGUUCCUGCGGAUGAGGAGCAGACAGCUUGUGCAUUAUGUCAUGAACCAUUUGAAGAUUUCUACAGUGAUGAGACUGAAGAGUGGAUGUACAAAGGUGCAGUUUACAUGAAUGCACCAGAUGGUAAUAUUGAUGGUUUGGAAAGGUCACAGUUGGGACCUAUUGUCCAUGCUAAAUGUCGAUCUGGGCCCAGCAGUACUUCUUAGGAUGGGCAUAGCUGGUCCCCAGAUUCUUCGAGGCGAGAAAAUGUGCGUUGGAUGGGAAGCAGACAAGGGGACGCGGAUGAUGUAGAAAAGAAAUCCAAGGGCUUGGAUUCAUUAUCGGCGGGACAACAAAGUGGAGAAGCACCUGACGUUUGACUUAAUAGUUCUUUUUGGAUGCGGCUGUAGACAUGACCUGUAAACUACCGUGAGACUCAGAUUUUGGUAUGAUUACUUCUUUCCUAUCUGGCUCACUUGACAGCCAGUGCAUAGAAUGUUAACGCGACAAUAGUGUAAACUGUAAAAUCUUUCUGUAAUUCAGUGAUUGAGCAUCAGUAAUCUACCGUACAAUCACUAUUGUCAAAUUGUGCUUGUGCCCUAUCAUUUUGUCCUUCUGUAGUUGCAGAGUGCUUCAUAUCUAGGGUCAGGCAGCACAAUUGGUGACAGGCAUAUAUGUAACCAUUGUUUCACUAGACGUGAAAAACAAUAUCUUUGUAUUGUUCUGCUUUCUUUCCCCUUGUUAAUAUCUUAUGCAGGAUAAUAUCGAAGGUAGCUUACAAUUUACAAAACAUCGAAGGGAUCAUGCAAGAUGACCAAGAGUUGUGGCAUCUGUCUACGGCUGUCCUGAACGGCUGAAGGGACUAGAUGCUAUCAUUGCUUUUUUUAUUUUUCUUUUAGUAUUUUCUUUGUAAAUUGAGAACAUUGUAUAAAGUGUUGUGAAGAUUAUUCUUGGUCACUUGUAUACUUCCAUCUUGCUGGACAUGUUUGUGCUAGAUAAAAUCAGAUGAGAAUGUUUUUAGACCUUAUACUUUGUUUCGGAAGUUAUGCUCAGGCAAAUUGCUCUA